GAUGAACGCUAGCGGGAGGCCUAACACACUGCAAGUCGAACGGGAUUGGUAGCAAUACCAUGAGAGUGGCGCACGGGUGAGUAACGCGUAUGCAACCUGCCUGUAACUGAGAGAUAGCCCAUAGAAAUGUGGAUUAAUACCUCAUAGUUCUGUUGAUUCGCAUGGAUUGACAGAUAAAGCUCCGGCGGUUACAGAUGGGCAUGCGUGACAUUAGCUAGUUGGUGAGGUAACGGCUCACCAAGGCGACGAUGUCUAGGGGUUCUGAGAGGAUGAUCCCCCACACUGGUACUGAGACACGGACCAGACUCCUACGGGAGGCAGCAGUGAGGAAUAUUGGUCAAUGGGCGCAAGCCUGAACCAGCCAUCCCGCGUGCAGGAUGACGGCCCUACGGGUUGUAAACUGCUUUAUACACCAAGAAAAAUCCCCACGAGUGGGGACCCGACGGUAGUGUAUGAAUAAGCAUCGGCUAACUCCGUGCCAGCAGCCGCGGUAAUACGGAGGAUGCAAGCGUUAUCCGGAUUCAUUGGGUUUAAAGGGUGCGUAGGCGGCUUUUUAAGUCAGUGGUGAAAUCCUGCCGCUUAACGGUAGAAUUGCCAUUGAUACUGAGAAGCUUGAGUUCAGUUAAGGUAAGCGGAAUGUGUAGUGUAGCGGUGAAAUGCUUAGAUAUUACACAGAACACCGAUUGCGAAGGCAGCUUACUAAACUGACACUGACGCUGAUGCACGAAAGCGUGGGGAUCGAACAGGAUUAGAUACCCUGGUAGUCCACGCCGUAAACGAUGCUCACUCGCUGUAUGCGAUAUACAGUAUGCGGCCAAGCGAAAGCAUUAAGUGAGCCACCUGGGGAGUACGAUCGCAAGGUUGAAACUCAAAGGAAUUGACGGGGGCCCGCACAAGCGGAGGAACAUGUGGUUUAAUUCGAUGAUACGCGAGGAACCUUACCUGGGCUUAAAUGUAGAACGACGGCUUGUGAAAGCAGGCUUUCUUCGGACGUUUUACAAGGUGCUGCAUGGUUGUCGUCAGCUCGUGCCGUGAGGUGUCGGGUUAAGUCCCAUAACGAGCGCAACCCCUAUCGUUAGUUGCCAGCGGGUCAAGCCGGGGACUCUAGCGAGACUGCCACCGUAAGGUGAGAGGAAGGUGGGGAUGACGUCAAAUCAGCACGGCCCUUAUGUCCAGGGCUACACACGUGUUACAAUGGCCGAUACAAAGGGCAGCUACCGGGCGACCGGAUGCUAAUCUCUAAAGUCGGUCCCAGUUCGGAUUGGAGUCUGCAACCCGACUCCAUGAAGGUGGAAUCGCUAGUAAUCGCGCAUCAGCCAUGGCGCGGUGAAUACGUUCCCGGACCUUGUACACACCGCCCGUCAAGCCAUGGAAGCUGGGGGUACCUGAAGAUGGUGACUUUACGGGGAGCUAUCUAAGGUAAAACUAGUAACUGGG
rnacentral:rRNA from 1 species